rnacentral:rRNA from 1 species
AGAGUUUGAUCAUGGCUCAGGACGAACGCUGGCGGCGUGCUUAACACAUGCAAGUCGAACGAUGAAGCCCAGCUUGCUGGGUGGAGGAGUGGCGAACGGGUGAGUAACACGUGAGUAACCUGCCCUUCACUCUGGGAUAAGCGCUGGAAACGGUGUCUAAUACUGGAUACGACCCUUACAGGCAUCUGUUGGGGGUGGAAAGAUUUAUCGGUGAAGGAUGGACUCGCGGCCUAUCAGCUUGUUGGUGAGGUAAAGGCCCACCAAGGCGACGAUCCGUAGCUGGUCUGAGAGGAUGAUCAGCCACACUGGAACUGAGACACGGUCCAGACUCCUACGGGAGGCAGCAGUGGGGAAUAUUGGACAAUGGGCGCAAGCCUGAUCCAGCCAUACCGCGUGAGUGAAGAAGGCCCUCGGGUCGUAAAGCUCUUUUGUUGGGAAAGAAAUCCCGUUGGUUAAUACCCGGCGGGGAUGACGGUACCCAAAGAAUAAGCACCGGCUAACUUCGUGCCAGCAGCCGCGGUAAUA